rnacentral:rRNA from 1 species
UACGGAGGGUGCAAGCGUUAUCCGGAUUUACUGGGUUUAAAGGGUGCGUAGGUGGGUCUGUAAGUCAGUGGUGAAAUCUCCGGGCUUAACUCGGAAACUGCCAUUGAUACUAUAGGUCUUGAAUUAUCUGGAGGUGAGCGGAAUAUGUCAUGUAGCGGUGAAAUGCUUAGAUAUGACAUAGGACACCAAUUGCGAAGGCAGCUCACUACGGAUAUAUUGACACUGAGGCACGAAAGCGUGGGGAUCAAACAGG